CUUUGUUUCCCUAAUGCUAUAGAAAACCCUGGAAGGCCUGUUACUUCUGUCUUUUACAAUGAUAAGAACAGUUCAUUUUAGUGAAGCAAAUAUCCUGCUUAAUACAAGUAAAAGCCAAACUUUCACUUCCCUAUGACUGUGGUUCUCAAUCAGGAGGCAGGUGUCAGAGGAGAAAGGACAUAAUGCCCUCAGGGCCUUAAAGAAGAUCACAGACAGUUUUUACAAUUGGGGGAGUACAUGGGAUACAUAGUCUGUGGGGUAUGGGUGGUCAUCACAGCAAGGAGGAGAAGCCAACACCAAUAGUGAUUGAUAAUCGUGCCUGAAGAAACAGCUUUCUGCUAGUUGUGGCUCUCUUCAUCCCUAAAAAUCCACACAGGUGACAGAGAAAUGAAUUAUUUACCAACACCUUCAGUGUUUAUGUUCCUGGCCUUGGCCUUUUCAACACACCAGGAGACAAUGCAGAGGAUUCAACAGACAGAGCUUAUUUCUU
rnacentral:lncRNA from 1 species